AUUGAACGCUGGCGGCAGGCUUAACACAUGCAAGUCGAGCGGGGGAAGGUAGCUUGCUACUGGACCUAGCGGCGGACGGGUGAGUAAUGCUUAGGAAUCUGCCUAUUAGUGGGGGACAACAUCUCGAAAGGGAUGCUAAUACCGCAUACGUCCUACGGGAGAAAGCGGGGGAUCUUCGGACCUUGCGCUAAUAGAUGAGCCUAAGUCGGAUUAGCUAGUUGGUGGGGUAAAGGCCUACCAAGGCGACGAUCUGUAGCGGGUCUGAGGAGAUGAUCCGCCACACUGGGACUGAGACACGGGCCAGACUCCUACGGGAGGCAGCAGUGGGGAAUAUUGGACAAUGGGGGGAACCCUGAUCCAGCCAUGCCGCGUGUGUGAAGAAGGCCUUAUGGUUGUAAAGCACUUUAAGCGAGGAGGAGGCUACUUUAGUUAAUACCUAGAGAUAGUGGACGUUACUCGCAGAAUAAGCACCGGCUAACUCUGUGCCAGCCGCCGCCGUAA
rnacentral:rRNA from 1 species